CCUACGGGAGGCAGCAGUGGGGAAUAUUGCACAAUGGGCGAAAGCCUGAUGCAGCAACGCCGCGUGAGGGACGAAGGCCUUCGGGUUGUAAACCUCUUUUAGUAGGGAAGAAGCGAAAGUGACGGUACCUGCAGAAAAAGCACCGGCUAACUACGUGCCAGCAGCCGCGGUAAUACGUAGGGUGCAAGCGUUGUCCGGAAUUAUUGGGCGUAAAGAGCUCGUAGGCGGUUUGUCGCGUCUGCUGUGAAAACUGGAGGCUCAACCUCCAGCCUGCAGUGGGUACGGGCAGACUAGAGUGCGGUAGGGGAGAUUGGAAUUCCUGGUGUAGCGGUGGAAUGCGCAGAUAUCAGGAGGAACACCGAUGGCGAAGGCAGAUCUCUGGGCCGUAACUAGACGCUGAGGAGCGAAAGCAUGGGGAGCGAACAGGAUUAGAUACCCUGGUAGUCCAUGCCGUAAACGUUGGGAACUAGAUGUAGGGGCCAUUCCACGGUUUCUGUGUCGCAGCUAACGCAUUAAGUUCCCCGCCUGGGGAGUACGGCCGCAAGGCUAAAACUCAAAUGAAUUGACGG
rnacentral:rRNA from 1 species